rnacentral:rRNA from 1 species
GACGAACGCUGGCGGCGUGCUUAACACAUGCAAGUCGUACGGUAAGGCCCUUUCGGGGGUACACGAGUGGCGCACGGGUGAGUAACACGUGAGUAACCUGCCCACAACUUUGGGAUAACGCUAGGAAACUGGUGCUAAUACUGGAUAUGUGCUCCUGCUGCAUGGUGGGGGUUGGAAAGCUCCGGCGGUUGUGGAUGGACUCGCGGCCUAUCAGCUUGUUGGUGGGGUAGUGGCCUACCAAGGCGGCGACGGGUAGCCGGCCUGAGAGGGUGACCGGCCACAUUGGGACUGAGAGACGGCCCAGACGCCUACGGGAGGAAGCAGGGGGGAAGAUUGAACAAUGGGCGCAAGCCUGAUGCAGAAACGCCGCGUGCGGGAUGACGGCCUUCGGGUUGGAAACCGCUUUCAGCAGGGACGAAGCUUUUUGUGACGGUACCUGCAGAAGAAGCACCGGCUAACUACGUG